rnacentral:lncRNA from 1 species
AGUCACCCCCUCUGGCACCGCCUGCUGCACACCAGGAACCCCCACCUCCAGCAAGCCCAUCUGCCAGACGCCUGGCCCAGGACCGCCCCCUGCCCCUCGACUGCCCCCUGCCCCUCCUGGUCCUGACUUCAGCCAGGUGACCCCCUCCAGGGUCCAGCCCUGGCCCCUGGGGGACUCAGUGGCAUCUGGUGGAAAGGACCUUGGGGAUUGCGCCCACCCUCACCUGCAGGAGAGUUGGCAGGGUGGCCAGCCACAGGAAUCUGUGGCAGGAGCCCGGGGACCUGCACCCCAACUAGAAAGUGUGCAGCCCUGCAGGCCGGCCCUGGAGAGGGAGCAGGCAGGGGUGAAGUUAGGCCGGCUGUGGUGUGCGACACCGUCCUGUGGGGCCAAGCGUCCCGAGCUCCAGAGGCAGGUGCACUCCUGGCCAGCAUCCAGGGUGGACGAGCCCAGACCCCAAUACUCUGAGGCAGGGUGGGGGACCAGGUGGCACCCAGUGGAGGAAAAGCCCCCAAGAGACACGCAGGAGCAUGGACUCCCACCCCACAGCUGGAGCCUGGGAGAGGAGCCCCAUCUGCUGUUUCCCUGGUGCACUCACAUCCUGGCCCUCAGCGCCCCCUGCCAGGAAUGUCCCCCACAUGCAGAGCCAUGUGGGUCUUGCAAGGAAGAAGAAGGGGGCCCCUUGCAUCCUCCACUCCCGGGGGCCCCAGGAGGGCAUGGGGGCUCCAGGGUGCAGGGACAGCACGUUCCCUCACCAACUCCCCAAGAACGCCCAACCUCCAAGAGCAGACACAGCGCCUACACCUGCCGGUACGGGGCUCCAACCCCACUCUCUCAGAUACGUCCUCCAGAGUCGUCUCAUCCACCCCACCCUGGGGAGGAGGGAAACUGAGGCAUGGCAAGAGACAAGACUAACACAGGCAUCAGUGAGACUCAGCCCCUCCUGCCCCUUCCUCCAUGCCCCUCCUACCCCGACUUCAGCUCCCACACCAAGGCCCCAAGCCUGACAUAGGGCCCCAGGUGCCAGGCCUCAAGGGGGCUGAAGGGAGCCCAUCUGCCCCACCGAGGGCACAGACAGUGCCAGGUCUUUGCUGAAAUGUCACCUCUUCCUUGAGGCCUUCUCUGAUUGCUGAGUAAGCCCUGUCCCCGCUCCCUGCUCCCCGUAUCCGCCCGCCUCGGCCCUCCGUCCCUUUUCUCCCUUCUCUGUGGCCUGCCCGCUCUCACAGAAUGCAGACUCCAGGGGUCCAGGGUGUUACCUCCCGGGCAGCAGGAGGAAAUGUCCUGGGCUCCCCACCCAGCGCUCAGCGCCCCCCGCUAAGUACAGCACUCACUCCUUCAUCCAUUCAGCGUGGGCUCUCCCGGCACCAGCACCGCCAGGCCCUGUGCAGGACCCCAGGGUCAUCAGGAAGGAAAUGAGGCAGCCCAAGGAGGCGGGAGACGGGGCCCUACCCAGCACCCAGCCAUCUGCAUUGACACGGCUGCCCGCAGGAUAUCACUGCCCCCAUCCCGGGGCCCACCAUUACCAGCAGGGAGAGGGAGGCAGGAAAGAAAGCACGCAGCCAAAGAGCGCAAAGAGGCUCAGAGGAGGCCCGGGUGCCCUGGAGAGACGCUGCGUCCUGACGACACAGCAUCCCUGUCCCGCAGCGGAGAUUUCCCAGAUGAAGGAUUCCCCGGCGGGAGACAGGGCCCUGCACACAGGUCCUCUGCCACGCUGCUCACCAUGCCUGUGUGUUAUCUCCCCAUGAAAAGUCACCUAGGCCGAGCAUGGUGGCUCACGCCUGUAAUCCCAGCACUUUGGGAGGUGGAGGCGUGCGGAUCAUCUGAGAUCAGGAGUUUGAGACCAUCCUGAGUAACAUGGUGAAACCCCGUCUCUAGGAAGAAUACAAAAAUUAACUGGG